rnacentral:rRNA from 1 species
AAUGUAGAUAAGGGAAGUCGGCAAAAUAGAUCCGUACGUUCGCUAAAAGGAUUGGCUCUGAGGGCUGGGCGCAUUUGCCCGCGUGCCGAGGUUGUGGCUGUGCGCUCGCUACUCUCACGGGCGGCGUGUGCGCGGCCUAUUCGGGUGUGCGCGGGACUUGGUGCGCGAUGAACAGCCAACUCAGAACUGGUACGGACAAGGGAAAUCCGACUGUUUAAUUAAAACAAGCAUUGCGAUGGCCGGGGACGGUGUUGCCGCAAUGUGAUUUCUG